CGACUCUCGGCAACGGAUAUCUCGGCUCACGCAUCGAUGAAGAACGUAGCAAAAUGCGAUACUUGGUGUGAAUUGCAGAAUCCCGUGAACCAUCGAGUUUUUGAACGCAAGUUGCGCCCGAAGCCUUUUGGCUGAGGGCACGUCUGCCUGGGCGUCACGC
rnacentral:rRNA from 1 species